AUUGAACGCUGGCGGCAGGCCUAACACAUGCAAGUCGAGCGGAUGAGAGGGGCUUGCUCCUCGAUUCAGCGGCGGACGGGUGAGUAAUGCCUAGGAAUCUGCCUAGUAGUGGGGGACAACGUUUCGAAAGGAACGCUAAUACCGCAUACGUCCUACGGGAGAAAGUGGGGGAUCUUCGGACCUCACGCUAUUAGAUGAGCCUAGGUCGGAUUAGCUAGUUGGUAGGGUAAAGGCCUACCAAGGCGACGAUCCGUAACUGGUCUGAGAGGAUGAUCAGUCACGCUGGAACUGAGACACGGUCCAGACUCCUACGGGAGGCAGCAGGGGGGAAUAUUGGACAAUGGGCGAAAGCCUGAUCCAGCCAUGCCGCGUGUGUGAAGAAGGCCUUCGGGUCGUAAAGCACUUUAAGUUGGGAGGAAGGGCUCAUAGCGAAUACCUGUGAGUUUUGACGUUACCAACAGAAUAAGCACCGGCUAACUUCGUGCCAGCAGCCGCCGUAA
rnacentral:rRNA from 1 species